CGGCUUCCCCCCGCCCCGACCCCGACUCCCUCGAGCGCCGCCGCCGCACCCUGGCAGCCCCUCUCGGCGACGACCACCACGGGUGUGCCUCCAUCUCCCUCGAGACUCCAGCUCCCCGGCGGCCUUCCCUCCUUCCCCCAAGUCCAUGAUCACUGCUGCUUCAAGGCCGAGGAGGCCAUCGGGUAGCAGCGAGCUCGGGGUCGCAGUCCAACAAUGCAAGGAGCCAAGGAGGGUGGUCCAGCCGAGAGAAGGAGGUUGUGAGAGGGGAUGAAGCGGCAGUUGCGCGGCCGCGUUGACCCGAGCUGGUUGCGAGAGCGGAUGGAGUGGCGGCUUCACGGAUUCCUUAUUGGAGGUGCCGUACCUGUCAGCCCGCUGACGAACUCGUGAAAUAUGGAUAGAGCUGCCACCUGAUCACCGGGGCCAAGAGGGAGCCCCAAAUAAACCAUUUCCUCUAUUAUAAUCAGAUUUUUGCACAGAGCUAAGGGAUGGUUUCAUUGAAUAGCUCUUGUGUUCAUCUAAUAGUUAGUUUGGUAUGUCUUUGAGAGACAGUAUGGAUUCCUACUAAAUGCAUUUAAUUUUGGGGUUUUUGAUAAUGCACAUAACCAUGGCAUUUUCUUCUGGAAUGUUUGUUUUCAGCAUCUGCUUCAUCUUGCGAUUAUAUAGGUUGUAAGAAAGAGCCAAGAUUAAAACUGGUGCAUAGCAUGCAGGUUUUUGUCGAACUGCGAUGGAGAUCGCUCUUCUGUUGUUGGAUGUGAGAGCCCCUCUCAUGCCGGAGAACACUAUACAUGUUUUUUGUGUUCCCUAUUAACAGCUAUAAGUGCAGCGGGGUUAAAACAGUGUGGCGGGAAACAUGAGAGAAGAUGAUUGUACGUGGUAUAUGUAUGAUAGAAUCAAUGGAAGCGAUUGGCUUAGUAAGUUUACAUGGAGAAACAGUUCAAGAAAUAUCUUGUUUGAACAGCUUAGCAUGUUUUUUCUUUGACUCCUUUGCCUUUGAAGUUUUGACAUGCUGUUCUUAUUCAUCUCAAGCUGAGCAAGAUGCUAUCCAGUACCUGUGUAGAGAGCUUGAGAACUACGGAUUGCUCCUGUGUGAGAGAAGUCUGAUCAGCCAAUUUCUAUAUAUAAUGUAGCUACUUUUAUAUCUUUGUCAGUGAAAAAUAUUGCUUUGUUC